UUGAUGAUAACCAUACAAAAACUUAGCCACCAACAUUUAAGUUCUUCUGUCCAGGAUUUUUUAACAGAAGCAAUCUCCCAGCAAGUAGAUCUAUCAGAGACAACUAGAUCAAUGCUUCAUGUGUAUAUAAAUAUUAUCUGCAUAAGUAUGCAUAGCAGUGAAAUAGCAGACCAUUUCAUAUAGAUCUAUCAACCACAACUGGAAUCAGAGCAAGCAGAUACACAGUUAUCAUCAUCACAAGUCUAGUACAUGUCAACAGUAUUGGUUUCGUCAGGUGGUUAAAGGGACACACAUACACCGCACUAGGUGUAGUCAUCUAUGGAUAUCUCACUUGCAUUUGGACAGCACUGACAAACACACAAGCAACUUCUCCAUACAAGCAUAUGGACAAAUCCACACACUACCGUCCACACCAAAUUUUCUGUCCCAACAAUUGCUCAGAAAUUGCACGUGUUGCCAAUUUAAGUCCAAAAGCAUAAAAAAUAUCCAAUCUAGCACACUCAACAUUUUACAAGAGCAGCAUAACAAGUUUAGAAUCCGUCCAGAUUAAUAAGUUCUCCAGAACCCCAAGACUAGAGAAGCAUUUAUGCUCCCUUCAGGCGAUAUGAGCUACAGGUUUUGGUUGUAAUCCAUCAUGAGGAACCCGGCCUUUUUCCAAGUAACCUGCUUCAGGUGAAGUUUCAGCACUCAGAUUGGAUUUUGUGUCGUCAUUCUUCUUUCCAGCAGAUGGAGGCGGAUAUGGAUUCUUGCUCACCAACCUGUAUCAAGAAAAGGGUAAUGCAAUAAGCUGUCACAAUAUUUUGUUUUGAAAGCUUGUGCCUUGUGGUUUCUAGUCAGUAAAGAUGAACACUAUAUGAAAGAUUUUACCUAUUACUCAGACAAGUUUGUCACUGACAACAACGCAUUUACUUACAAUUUUUGUGGCCUGUAAGGUGGUGACUUUGGGAAAAUUUGAGAUUAUAUUUAACCAUGAUUACCUGUCCCGCCUUUUCUCAAAGAAUUUNNNNN
rnacentral:lncRNA from 1 species